rnacentral:rRNA from 1 species
CUACGGGAGGCAGCAGUGAGGAAUAUUGGUCAAUGGGCGAGAGCCUGAACCAGCCAAGUAGCGUGCAGGAUGACGGCCCUAUGGGUUGUAAACUGCUUUUAUAAGGGAAUAAAGUGAGUCUCGUGAGACUUUUUGCAUGUACCUUAUGAAUAAGGACCGGCUAAUUCCGUGCCAGCAGCCGCGGUAAUACGGAAGGUCCGGGCGUUAUCCGGAUUUAUUGGGUUUAAAGGGAGCGUAGGCCGGAGAUUAAGCGUGUUGUGAAAUGUAGAUGCUCAACAUCUGCACUGCAGCGCGAACUGGUUUCCUUGAGUACGCACAAAGUGGGCGGAAUUCGUGGUGUAGCGGUGAAAUGCUUAGAUAUCACGAAGAACUCCGAUUGCGAAGGCAGCUCACUGGAGCGCAACUGACGCUGAAGCUCGAAAGUGCGGGUAUCGAACAGGAUUAGAUACCCUGGUAGUCCGCACGGUAAACGAUGGAUGCCCGCUGUUGGUCUGAAUAGGUCAGCGGCCAAGCGAAAGCAUUAAGCAUCCCACCUGGGGAGUACGCCGGCAA